rnacentral:rRNA from 1 species
GGUUAAGCGACUAAGCGUACACGGUGGAUGCCCUGGCAGUCAGAGGCGAUGAAGGACGUGCUAAUCUGCGAUAAGCGUCGGUAAGGUGAUAUGAACCGUUAUAACCGGCGAUUUCCGAAUGGGGAAACCCAGUGUGUUUCGACACACUAUCAUUAACUGAAUCCAUAGGUUAAUGAGGCGAA